rnacentral:rRNA from 1 species
CGGGGCGGGGGCACGGGGGGAACGCGAAGAACCUUACCUACCCUUGACAUGGUCGGAAUCCUGCCGAGAGGCGGGAGUGCUCGAAAGAGAACCGGCGCACAGGUGCUGCAUGGCUGUCGUCAGCUCGUGUCGUGAGAUGUUGGGUUAAGUCCCGCAACGAGCGCAACCCUUGUCCUUAGUUGCUACGCAAGAGCACUCUAAGGAGACUGCCGGUGACGGACCGGAGGAAGGUGGGGAUGACGUCAAGUCCUCAUGGCCCUUAUGGGUAGGGCUUCACACGUCAUAC